GGCGAGGGAGAACGGCGGCUGUUCGCCGUGCCGAAAGGCACGGAGGCGCGGGUUCAAAUCCCGCUCUCGCCCCA
rnacentral:tRNA from 1 species